AUGGCUGACCCUGAGGAGUUGCAAGUUUCUUUACCACCCCUGCUGCCUUCCUUUUCUCCCUUAACUUCAGACUUCUCUUCGGCAUCUUCCCUGAGCGCUCCCGUGAAUUUGAGCUGGCCAGUUCCAAGCAGGGACAGCAGCCAAAUGGUGGAUCCACUGGAGGAACAGCAGCUGCAGAUUGGAGAUGCAUUCUCAUUAACCAGCACUAUGAACGAAACUUCUUGAAGCCCCAUUUGCAGUAUCAGCUCAAGUGGAAGAGUUUGCCUUCGGCUUGUCUACAGAAAAUGCACGUUUCCUGAAAACGUGGUGGGAACUCUUGAAAGAGGGCUAUGAUUCUUCCUCAAAACCUGACAGCUG
rnacentral:lncRNA from 10 species